UACGGGGGGGGCAAGCGUUGUUCGGAAUUACUGGGCGUAAAGGGCGCGUAGGCGGCCUACUAAGUCGGACGUGAAAUCCCUCGGCUCAACCGAGGAACUGCGUCCGAUACUGGCGAGGCUUGAAUUCGGGAGAGGGAUGUGGAAUUCCAGGUGUAGCGGUGAAAUGCGUAGAUAUCUGGAGGAACACCGGUGGCGAAGGCGGCAUCCUGGACCACGACUGACGCUGAGUGAGCGAAAGCCAGGGGAGCAAACGGG
rnacentral:rRNA from 1 species